AGUGAACGCUGGCGGUAGGCCUAACACAUGCAAGUCGAACGGCAGCACAGUAAGAGCUUGCUCUUACGGGUGGCGAGUGGCGGACGGGUGAGGAAUACAUCGGAAUCUACUUUUUCGUGGGGGAUAACGUAGGGAAACUUACGCUAAUACCGCAUACGACCUACGGGUGAAAGCAGGGGAUCUUCGGACCUUGCGCGAUUGAAUGCGCCGAUGUCGGAUUAGCUAGUUGGCGGGGUAAAGGCCCACCCAGGCGACGAUCCGUAGCUGGUCUGAGAGGAGGAUCAGCCACACGGGAACGGAGACACGGUCCAGACUCCUACGGGAGGCAGCAGUGGGGAAUAUUGGACAAUGGGCGCAAGCCUGAUCCAGCCAUACCGCGUGGGUGAAGAAGGCCUUCGGGUUGUAAAGCCCUUUUGUUGGGAAUGAAAAGCAGCAGGUUAAUACCCCGCUGUUCUGACGGUACCCAAAGAAUAAGCACCGGCUAACUUCGUG
rnacentral:rRNA from 1 species